rnacentral:lncRNA from 1 species
UUCGUGCAGGUGAACUUUUUUUCGAGAUACGGAGGAACGGACAUCGGUCAUGCCGUGCGCACUCUUCUGCAGGGCAUACUUACAAAUGAAGCUGCACUGCAGUUCAGCUGGAAAGGGUCGCAGGGGAGGAAGCACGCCUUCGUGAAGCUCCCGGCCAUCACGAAUCUCAUUCUAACAUCUGUGAGGAGCACCUUCCCAGACGCUUCACUGGCUUCAGUGGCUGGAGUCACGAAACGCUGGUUAGUCGGAGCAGCUGACAGGGAUGGAGGCCGGAACGAGAGAAGGCGUCGUGACCCCGCUUCAAGCCCACCAUGAACUAGCAUUUGAAACUUUUGUGAACGUGUGGGUGUAUACAUAUCCAAGACAAAUACAAGAAAUAAAGACCUGUAUAAGAA